rnacentral:misc_RNA from 1 species
GGAUGUAAAAGUCGUAACAAGGUCUCCGUUGGUGAACCAGCGGAGGGAUCAUUACCGAGUUUACUACUCCCAAACCCCAUGUGAACCUUACCACACGUUGCUUCGGCGGGAUGCCCCGGGCGCGGGCCGCAAGGCCUCAGCCCUGGAACCAGGCGCCCGCCGGAGGCCCAAACCAAACUCUUGUUUUUGUAGAAUCUUCUGAGUGGCCUUUUAGGCAAAAAAUGAAUCAGAACUUUCAACAACGGAUCUCUUGGUUCUG